GGGUUGUGAGGUUAAGCGACUAAGCGUACACGGUGGAUGCCCUGGCAGUCAGAGGCGAUGAAGGGCGUGCUAAUCUGCGAUAAGCGCCGGUAAGGUGAUAUGAACCGUUAUAACCGGCGAUACCCGAAUGGGGAAACCCAGUGUGAUUCGUCACACUAUCAUUAACUGAAUCCAUAGGUUAAUGAGGCGAACCGGGGGAACUGA
rnacentral:rRNA from 2 species